AAAAAUAGCCCCUUGCAAAACGAAGGAAAACGCACGCAUACCGCCGGCUGCCACGCCAUCGAAGCCGCGCGCCUCUCCCAGCCCAUCACCGGCGCCGCCUUACUCAUCCGCCGCUCUCGCCCUCCCCAGACCACCCCCACCCCUCGGCGGCUCCGAGCCGUCACGCUCGCUUCGUCGGAGCUCCCCAAGCAGCAGGGAUCGUCCUCCCUCCUCGCCCGCCGCCGCCGCUUCUUCGGCCGUUCACUCGCCCCCUCCCACCAGCUUUUGUUCGUUGCAGGGCUGAAUUCUUUGCGGAACGAUCUGUGAGGCUCGCGAACUGACUGGGUUCACCUGGCAUUGCUAGCACAGCUGUGGCCACCAGAAAUAUGGCUGAAUUCUUUGUCUGGUGUUUUGUUUUCUCCAUGUGCUUCACUGUCAUCCGGGCACACUGCAUUACUUUUAACUUGUCGGCACCAUUUUUUAAGAGGCAUGGUAAAGCUCCAUUAGAAUCACCUGAAGAAAAGGAGGUAUGCUUUUUAAACAGUUAAUUUUUUAUGGUUUUGUUGUUCUCUUGAAUAGGUUGAGAAGGAACGAUUGGUUGGAUAUGAACUUGCUUGCUUAGUGGGAACCAUGGCGUUCGAACUACUAGGCAGUGGUUAAAUCAUGUGCUACCAACUGUUUUGGUAUUGGUCAGGUGAGCAGCACCGCACUCAAUUGUUAAAUGAUGGGGGUACUUGAAUCUAUACAAAUUUAACUUGGAUAUUUCGGAUUUACCUACAAAAUGAGUUCAUUUGCUGGAUGCCUUGUUACAGCAAAUUUAAAUUUGAGGCCCUUCUUUUCAUGCUGUCCUGGCUUUCUGUUUCAGAAAUGACUUGAGAUUUUUCUCGAGAACACUAUCAUCAAUGAAAGUCUACUCUUCUUGCAAGUUCUCAUUGUAUCAUCUUUAGAUAAUUAUGCCCCUGGCUAUUCUUAAUUACAUCCUCCUCUCUCCACAUCGCCUUACCCGCAGAUGGAGGGAAGGAGAGAGACACUUACAUUCAGAGAGGAUCUUCUGUUCUGUUUUGUAUUAACCUGUUUUUCAUAGGUAACCUAAUUGUGGUGGUUAGUAUUUGUUUUUUCGUAGAUGACAACAAAAUAUCUGAAGAUGCUUUUGAGGCACCUCAACAAUAGCUGCAGUGAAAUUUAAACCACUAAGAGCAAUUUUUUUUGUCGUAGCCUGUGGUUGACUAAUCAUAUAUUAUCAUUGGUGUGCAACAUGAUUGUUUGAUCCAUGGUGUGCUUCAACAGUGGAUUAAGUUUUGAUUAGUGGCUCAUGUAGUCAUGUGUCUAGUUGUGGUAUGAAAGUCCCAUGCCUAAGCAGUUUAUGUCUUGCUGUGUUAUGCUAUAUAAUCUUGACAUGGAAUUGAACUGAUCAAGCUUUAUUAAAAUAUCAUGAUAAAUAUCUUUCAAUAAAUUUGUAUUCGCUUCUUUCUUGGUUGAUUCAUACCUUAUUCUAUUAUAUAUCUUUGUUUAGUGCAUCUUCUCCUAAUUACUGGUAUGUUCUGUCUCUGCACAAUUGUGUGUGCAACACAGAGGCUGGGGCUCACUACAGCUGCUCUCGUUCUCUUUUAUUCUAAUGAUCAACCUGUUUAUAUGUUGUUUUGGGCUUUGGGGCCCUGAUUAACCACCUGACUGGUGUGCUCCCAAGUGCUAGCACGGUGCUGGUGCUAAUCUUCAUGGAUGAAAAUUGCAGGGAAAUAUUUGCACUUGGUGCUUUAGUUGUUUAUGGCGCCGAGUAAGUUCUGAUAACUUUAGGGACUAGACUAAACUGCAGCACUACAGUUCCAUAGCACAGCUGUUCUGCUGCGGGCUGGGAGCUUGAACUUGAUUUCAUCUUUGGACAUGACCCAAUGGUUUUUAUGGCUGUUGCUGGAAGCAAGUGUGGGAUGGAUAUGGAUGGUCAGCCUUACGCGUAUAUACCUUCCUCAAUUCUCUGGAUUUAUUUUCUCUCCUUUAUUUUGCAUCUUUCUACGUUUCUCCAUUUGCAAGGCCUAAAUUCCAUUUUUGGUUACUUAUAGAAAAUUUUCUCCCUUUUAUUUUGGCUUCAGUUGCUGGAUAUAGCUUGCAUCUUGGUAAGCAUGAGGAUGGCUUGGAAAAGAUUCCUUCACGAUGUUUGCCAAGGAGUAUUAACAAUCUCAACAAUUUGCAAACUUCAGUCUUUAAUUAGGUUUAAUAGACCCCAAACAAAGCGUCUAGAACCUAUAUGUAUUUCUGUAGAUCAAUGUACAAACAAGCAUGUGCUGUGGCUUAAGCUAGUGCCAGCCUUUGGGCUAUAGAAUCCUCUACCAAAUAAGUAGCAUAUUUGUUGGAUGGAAGCUGUGUAUAUAUUACUAAAUACAGAUGAGAUACGCCAAGCAUUUAUGGAGCAUACGUCAUGAGGUUAUCAACGAUAAGUUUGACCGAUCUUUUGUUACAAAGCUCCAGUGGAGGUGUAUAUUUGGCAGUCAAUUAUACAGGCAAGAAUCAGAGUACCUAGACAGAUGACGUUCAUGAACGCUUCUGCUAAAUAAAUGACUAGAGUUAUUGAGAAGAUUUAAGAUAUAUCUUUCUGGAUUCCUAGAAUUAAUUGUGCACCUCGACUCCGCCCUAUAUAAGGAGCCUCCUUCACACCGGUUUGGAGACGCUCUUCAGUCUGGUCUCUGGUGUCUGCAAUGGACAACCUCAAGACCCAUUCUGAACAGUCCAAGCAACCUCACGGACAACAAGCAAAUGGCCUUCCUUUGGAUGUACCAACAGGUCAGGCCUUAGAUACUCAUAUGAUUGAACAACAGAGCACAAAUCAGACGCCGCUAUGGUUCUCCCUUGAGCAGCACAGGCUGCAGUUGGAUCAGGUUCGCCAACUCUAUAACGAGCAGGUUCGGGUGUCGCUGCAGCAGGAAAUAUCUUUACAGAAUGCAACUCUAUCAAACCUUCUGACAACCGAUGCGCUGAUCCAAAAGGUUGAAGAGGUAGCCAGCUUGCGCAUGGAGUUGCAGAGGAACCAAGAGGAUCGAGAAACUUUACGGCAUGCUUGCGAUCAGUUGCUGCAGCGUGUUGUGAUUGUAUAUGAAACGAACGAGGCACUUAUCAGAAUGUGUGCUCCGUUGCAGCAGGAAACAAACUCACAUGUUUCAGGCCCUGGAGAUAAAGCAUCAAGUCUGGUGAGAACCACCGCGGAGACAACCAAGAUUGAGCGUACUUGUAUGGUUUGCAACUCUGGUGGUGCCUGUAUGAUGUUGCUGCCGUGCAAGCACCUCUGCACCUGCAAGCCAUGUGGAGUUCAUCUCACAGCUUGCCCUAUCUGCGGUGUUGUGAAGGGUGACGCGGUCGAGACCCAAUUCAUAUGAGAAGUGAAGAGACAAUAGCAGCGAUGGGAACCUGUUGUUUCUGAUGUGCCUAAUAAGAGCAUGUGUGUUUUCUUUUUUUUUUCUGUGCAAGUGUGUUGUUGGAGCCUUGGUUUGUCAUCCUUUCUUGUUUUGAUGUUCUGUGGUAGUCUUCAUAUCAAUGUCAUAUUUCUGUUUUCUCAA